ACGUCUACAUUAGAUACCCCGGUAGUCCUAGGCGUAAAUGAUGCGAGUUAAGUNUGGGGGCAUCUACGAGAUGGCCCUGUGCUGUAGGGUAGCCGUUAAACCCGCUGCCUGGGGAGUACGGUCGCAAGGCUGAAACUUAAAGGAAUUGGCGGGGAGCACCACAAGAGGUGGAGGCUGCGGUUCAAUUGGACUCAACGCCGGAAAACUCAUCGGGAGCGACAGCAGUAUGAUUGCCAGGUUGAUGACCUUGCUUGACAAGCUG
rnacentral:rRNA from 1 species